UCAAAUAUAGAACCCAACUGGAUUGGGUGUCGAAUCCCAUAGGGAAUACUAUGUUCACUAAGUAUUGUGAUUAUUAUUAGACUGUUGAUCUAAGGUUCCUGAAUACAAGGGGGUUUGGAUGAGUUAACAAUAUUAUUUCAUAGUUGUACCACACAAGGUCCAGCUAAUGAGAGUUAAUGUAGAUGUAAUUUCAAUGAGAAUGAAUUAACUAGAGUUAAGCUCACCAAGAUGCUCAAACAGUUAUGGUUGAAAACCAUUGUGACAGGCAGCACACAUCUCUGGAAUGCUUUGGCAUCUGUACACUCUAAAUGCUGGCCUGUGGGCUCCCUAUUUAACUCGUCUUGAAAUACGAACCAAUGAGUCUAACAUGUAUAUGAGUCAAUGAGUGAGCAAACCCGUAAGGCAUAAGGAAGCUGAUUGGUAGGAUCCUCUGAGGGGUGUACCGCUGAUCGACCUUGAUCUUCUGAGAAGGGUUCGAUUGUGGGCAUACCUGGCAGGACCCAAAAGAUGGUGAACUAUGCCUGAGUGGGGCGAAACAAGAGAAAACUCUGGUGGAGGCCUUCAGCGAUACUGAUAAGUAAAUCAUUCAUUUGACUUGGGUAUAGAAGCGAAAGAGUAAUCGAACCGUCUAGGAGCUGGUUCUUUCUGAAGUUUCCCUAAGAAUAGAUGGAGCUCGCGUGCAAGGUCUAUCAGGUAAAACCAAUGAUUAGAGGCCUCGGUGGCACAAUUCCCUCGACCUAUUCUCAAACUUUAAAUAGGUAGGACGGUGCGGCUACUUUCUUGAACCGUGCCAUAGAAUCAAGAGCUCCAAGUGGGCUAUUUUUGGAAAGUAGAAUCGACAAGGAGGGAUGUAUCGAAAGUCGGGUUACGGUACCAAACUGCACGCUAACCUAGAUCCUAAAAAGGGUAUUGGUCGAUUAAGACAGCAGGACGGUGGUCAUAGAAGUCAAAAUCCACUAAGGAUUGUGUAUGUAACAACUCACCAGCCGAAUCAACUAGCCCCAAAAAUGGAUGGCACUUAAGUACGCGACCUACACCCGGCCAUCUGGGAAAGUACCAGGCCUCGGUAAGUAGUAGGGCACGACGAUGCUGCAAAACCUUAGGCGCAAGCUCGAGCAAAGCGUCCAUUAGUGCAGAUCUUGGUAGUAGUAGAAAAUAUUCAAAUGAUAACUUUGAAGGCUAAAUAGGUGAAAGGUUCCAUGUGAACGACACUUGCACAUGGGAUAGUCGAUCGUAAAGGUCGGGGGUAUCCUAACAAAUAGCGUGUUUCAUAGGUACUCUGAAAGGGAAUCAGGUUAAAAUUCCUGAACCGGGACAUAGUAGUUAACGAUAAUGUUAGGAAGUCUACAGACAUUGGUGGGAGCCUCAGGAAGAGUUAUCUUUUCUUUUUAACUGCCUGUCCACCCUAGAAUUAGCUCAGCCAGAAGUAGGGUCCAACGACUAGAAGAGCACCGCACGUUACGUGGUAUCAGGUGUGCUCCUGCCUGCUCUUUAAAAUCUGGAUGACCGAAUUUCAUCCACUCCUGGUCAUACUCAUAACCACAUUAGGUCUCCAAGGUGAAUAGCCUCUGGUCUAUGAAAUAAUGUAGGUAAGGAAAGUCGGCAAAAUAGAUUUGUAACUUUGGGAAAAAGAUUGGCUUAAUGGUUGGGCAUACGGGUCCCAGUCCCAAACCCAUCGACUGUCGCUUGACUACUCGAGUUGCUCCCGCGAUGAGAGCGGGUCACCACGGGAUAGGUGGGGGAUAGACUGGAAAUGGUUCCUUCGGAGACCUUUCCUGCGCAACAAAUAGCUACCUCAAAUCUAAUACAGACAAGGUAAAUCCAACUGUUUAAUUAAAAUGAAGUAUUUUAAUGGUCCCCAUGGAUGUUCACGCAAUGUGAUUUCUGCCCAGUGCUCUGAAUGUCAAAGUGAAGCAAUUCAACCAAACGCGGGUAAACGGCGGGAGUAACUAUGACUCUCUUAAGGUAGCCAAAUGCCUCAUCAUCUAAUUAGUGAUAUGCAUGAAUAGAUUAACAAGAUUUCCACUGUCCCUGUCUAAUAUCCAGUAAAACCACAGCCAAGGUAACGAGCUUGGAAGAAUCAACGGGGAAAGAAGACCCUGUUGAGCUUGACUCUAGUCCUACUUUGUGAAAUGACUUGAGAGGUGUAGUAUAAGUGGGAUACAUAAGGCGGAAGUGAAAUACCACUACUUUUGACAUUAUUUUACUUAUUUCAUGAAUCAAAAGUGGGGCACUGACCCUCUUUUUUGACCCAAGGUUAGCUCUACGGGCUGAUCUGGGUAGAAGACAUUAUCAGGUGAGGAGUUUGGUUUAGGCAGCAUAUCUGUUAAAAGAUAAUACAUGUGUCCUAAGAUGAGCUCAACGAGAUCAGAAAUCUCAUGUAAACAAAAAGGUAAAAGCUCAUUUGAUUUGAUUUCCAGUACGAAUACAAAUCGUGAAAGCGUGGCCUAACGAUCCUUUAGACCUUCAGAAUUCAAAGCUAGAGGUGUCAUAAAAGUUACCAUAGGGAUAACUGGCUUGUGGAAGCCAAGAAUUCAUAGUGACAUUGCUUUUUUAUCCAUCGAUGUUGGUUCUUCCUAUCAUUACGAAGCAAAAUUCACCAAUUGUUGGAUUGUUCACCCACCAAUAGGGAAUGUGAGUUAGGUUUAGACCAUCGUGAGAUAGGUUAGUUUUACCCUAUUGAUGAUAGUGUCACAAUAGUAAUUCAACCAAGUACGAGAGAAACAGCUAUUUCACAUAAUUGGUCAUCGCGCUUGGUUAAAAAGCCAAUGGCAUAAAGCUACUGUGUGCUGGAUUAUGACUGAACGCCUCCACAUCAAAAUCCAGGAUUGACGUAAUACAUGAACCCUUCGUCUGCUUGCCGACCCACAGUAGGGGCCUCAGCCCUUAAGGGCACGUGUCAUUGGCUAAGCUAUCACGACGGAAGGUUCAUAGUUACCGUCUUUAAGUUAAAUUUCCAUCGAGCGAUGGGUAGAAUCCUUUGCA
rnacentral:rRNA from 1 species